AGUCUUUCAAUCUGGAAGCAACCAUUAGUGAGUUAACCAAAACACUUAUUCCAAGUUGAUCCGCGACUAUAUUGGUACUUCGAAGGUGACAUCUGAAACGAGAGAAAAAUAACACUUUAAAUUUCGGAAAAUUCGAAUCACAACUUCACUCUCCAGUCCCCAGUGAAUUUAAAAUGAAGUUCGUCAUCCUACUGGUCCUGUGCGUUGUCAUUUGCAGUGUUGCUGCUGAAAGAACCGCCAAGAGAGAGGAGGAUGUGACCCAAGACGAGAUAGAAGCAGAGGUCACCAAGAGGGAUGCGUUCUCGAAUUUCCUUAAGAAGCAGGAUACGUAUUAUCGUGACGCGCUUCUGGGUUAGAGAGAAGGUAUCCACCGUCUUCCUUUGUAAUGGCUAUUCUAUAUUCCAUCUAAAGAAAUAAAAUCAUUAUUGAGUUGA